rnacentral:rRNA from 1 species
UAAGGAAUAUUGGUCAAUGGACGCAAGUCUGAACCAGCCAUGCCGCGUGAAGGAUGAAGGUCCUCUGGAUUGUAAACUUCUUUUAUCUGGGACGAAAACGGGAUUUUUAUCUCAAUUGACGGUACCAGAGGAAUAAGCACCGGCUAACUCCGUGCCAGCAGCCGCGGUAAUACGGAGGGUGCGAGCGUUAUCCGGAUUUACUGGGUUUAAAGGGUGCGUAGGUGGGCUUAUAAGUCAGUGGUGAAAUCUCCGAGCUUAACUUGGAAACUGCCGUUGAUACUAUAGGUCUUGAAUUAUCUGGAGGUAAGCGGAAUAUGUCAUGUAGCGGUGAAAUGCUUAGAUAUGACAUAGGACACCAAUUGCGAAGGCAGCUUACUACAUAUAAAUUGACGCUGAGGCACGAAAGCGUGGGGAUCAAACA